rnacentral:rRNA from 1 species
GACGAACGCUGGCGGCGUGCCUAAUACAUGCCAGUUGAGCGAUGAAGAUUGGUGCUUGCACCAAUUUGAAGAGCAGCGAACGGGUGAGUAACGCGUGGGGAAUCUGCCUUUGAGCGGGGGACAACAUUUGGAAACGAAUGCUAAUACCGUAUAACAACUUUAAACAUAAGUUUUAAGUUUGAAAGAUGCAAUUGCAUCACUCAAAGAUGAUCCCGCGUUGUAUUAGCUAGUUGGUGAGGUAAAGGCUCACCAAGGCGAUGAUACAUAGCCGACCUGAGAGGGUGAACGGCCAAAUUGGGAAUGAGACACGGCCCAAACUCCUACGGGAGGCAGCAGUAGGGAAUCUUCGGAAAUGGACGAAAGUCUGACCGAGCAACGCCGCGUGAGUGAAGAAGGGUUUCGGAUCGUAAAACUCUGUUGGUAGAGAAGAACGUUGGUGAGAGUGGAAAGCUCAUAAAGUGACGGUAACUACACAGAAAGGGACGGCUAACUACGUG